GGGGGCGACCGGUUUCGACGUGGGUUGCGAACCUUCAGGGGCGUGCCGAGGCGCAGUGGCCCUCGUUAAUAACUGCUGCAAAACUUAGUUGCCAACGACGACAACUACGCUCUGGCCGCUUAAUCCGGCCUAACCUCGGACCAGUUGGUGCCUAUGACACUGAACCCGGGGACGCGCUCAUAGGAUCGCGGUUCACCGUGCUACGGGGUGACACCGUUAAGAGACACCGUCGCUGGUCCGGCGUCUUCCCUGCUGCUCGGGUAGCGCCGGAUGAGAACCAAAGAGCCAGCUACGCGCGUAGAUCCUGAAGUCUAGGGCUUGCGGACGGGGGUUCGAUUCCCCCCGCCUCCACCA
rnacentral:tmRNA from 1 species